rnacentral:rRNA from 1 species
AUUGAACGCUGGCGGCGUGCUUAACACAUGCAAGUCGAGCGGUAACAGGUGUAGCAAUACAUGCUGACGAGCGGCGAACGGGUGAGUAAUGCUUCGGAAUCUUCCUCGUAGUGGGGAAUAACCUGGGGAAACUCAGGCUAAUACCGCAUACGAACUACGGUUGAAAGCAGGGGAUCGCAAGACCUUGCGCUAUGAGAUGAGCCGAAGUCGGAUUAGCUAGUUGGUGAGGUAAAGGCUCACCAAGGCGACGAUCCGUAGCGGGUCUGAGAGGAUGAUCCGCCACACUGGGACUGAGACACGGCCCAGACUCCUACGGGAGGCAGCAGUGGGGAAUUUUGGACAAUGGGCGAAAGCCUGAUCCAGCCAUGCCGCGUGUCUGAAGAAGGCCUUCGGGUUGUAAAGGACUUUAGUCUAGGGAGCGAAAACUUAACUGGUUAAUACCGGUGAGGCGUGAGAGUACCUGAAGAAUAAGACACCGGCUAACUACGUAGCCAG